ensembl:lncRNA
GCAUACAUGCAAGUGUUCAUCAUCUUGAUACUACUCAUCAUGGGAUCCUUCAUUUUAUUUAUAUUCCACAGCUUUCUGGUAGAGAAGAGGAGAAGAAAGAACAUGAGUCGACAGAAAAGUACCCCAGAACUGUAUCCCACUGCUACUGAUUUUAAUGAAGAAGACAAAGAGCAACUACAGGAAAGAAAAAUUAGCUCUGAUGAUUCAAAAAGUGAAAGUCAAAAUGCUGGCGAAGAUGAAUGAAAGAUGGUACUGGAAGAACUGGAAUAAGAAAAAAGAAAAAAGAUCCAAUGGUAAU